GGCCAAUGAUGUAAUUUAAUACUUGCUACUCUUGACCUAUUAAAAUGAUGACUAUUCCACCAAGAUCUCUGAGGCU